AAAAAAAUGACAUCUCUAUAUAAAUUUGGCAAUUGUCUUGACUGGUGUGUUUUGCUACGUAUGAGAGGGUAAAGUUCUGGAAUGUUCUCUCUGCAAGGCAGUUGUUUCUUCUCUCCGCACCGGUAAAUUCAAAAGAAACCAAGUGAUGGAAACGAGUGAGGGCUUUUCGAGAUUGAUAUUAUCUUGGUCUCUUGAAGAUAUACUCAACAAUGAUCUUUACAAAGACAAGGUGAAGCAAAUUCCAAAGACAUUCUUGUCCGUAGCUCACUAUUUGAAAUCAUUUACUUUUCCACUUAUUGAGGAAACUCGUACAGAUUUAUGCUCAAGCAUGAAGAUGUUGUCAGAGGCUCCAGUGUAUGAAAUAACCGACAUUGCUUUUUCUGAAAAUUAUAAACCUCCACAUGAUUUGUUAUACCAGAUAGAAAUGAAAGCAUUGGUAGAUAGUGAUAGAAAAGGGGAUAUAUGUGAGCCUGAGAUUGGACAACUUUUUACUUUGACUAAAACAAGGCCAAAAUGCAUAGAUGAUUUGAACAAGCGUGGAAAUUCCUAUCUUACUGGUUUAAUUGGGAAGGUUAGAAAGAAAAAAGACGAGGAAGAUGUUUAUGAGGUUCAAAUACUAGCUUCAAAGCCCAUUAAAUUGGAAAUGUACUGGCAGGAGGAUGGCACAUAUGUAUAUGGCAUAUAUGGUUUUGCUGCCUAUCUUAUUAAUAUAACAACAAAUAUGCGUAUAUGGAAUGCACUGAACUCAGAUCCAGAAGGUCCAGAUAUCCAUGUGAUCAAACAACUGCUCCAACCUGAUCCUGCUGUUGGGGGAAAUUGCGCUCAAUGUUUCUCUAGUGAAAGGUACACUAUUGAUGUGUCAAAUAUUGGUGCUGUUAUUCGAUCAUUUGAUUUGAACAAAGCUCAAGAAGAGGGAGUUUUAAGUUGUUUAGCUGCAAGGGAGUGCUCUCACAAAAAUACUGUGAAAUUGAUUUGGGGCCCUCCAGGGACAGGGAAAACAAAAACAGUUGGCUCAUUACUAUUUUCCCUCCUCAAAAGGAAAUGCAGAACACUUACUUGUGCCCCAACUAAUGUGGCUGUGCUGGAAGUGAUUUCCAGGUUUCUUAGGCUAGUGAUGGACUCCAUUGAUUAUCACACUUAUGGUCUUGGAGACAUAGUGUUAUUUGGCAAUAGAAAGCGAAUGAGUAUUGACGAUCGAGAUGAUCUUCUUGAUAUAUUUCUUGAUUACCGUGUAAAUAUUCUUGCCAGGUGCUUUGCACCCUUGUCUGGUUGGAAACAUCAUUUAGAACUGGUAAUUCGGUUACUUGAAAUCCCUGAAGAGCAGUAUCAUGAAUAUUUAAAGUGUGAGGAAAAGAGGGAUUAUGAGAUCAAAGGUGAUGACUGCUUGAAGGAAGAGAAUGAUGUAAUUGCAAGUCAACAAACAAAUCAAGAGAAAAUAAAUAUGUCCCAGGACCCCAAGAUUUGGAAGCAAAAUGAGUGGAUGAAAAUAAUUAAUAGAACUUUAAGAGAAAACAGAUUGUCUUUUAAAGAGGCAAACAAAAGCAAAUAUGAUAAGCAGGAGAUGAAGGAUAUUCUUUUCCAUGAGAACAAAAUAGAAAGGUUGACAUUUCAUGAUUUUUUCACAAAAAAAUUGAAUUAUAUUAGGAGGCGGAUGAGGACAUUUGCAGUGGAUAUGUGUACUCAUUUGCCAACUUCUUUUAUUUCAUUAAGAGUGGUCAAAAGUUUAUUUGAAUGUCUUGACUGGCUUAAAGUCUUUGUAGAAGUGUUAUCAAACAAUUCCAUUACUGAUCACGAAUUUAAAGAUGCCAUUUCUAUAUCUACUAUUGAUCAAAGUAGAGCUAGUUGCUGUACUUGGCAGGCUAAGUUGUGUAUAACCAGGAAAGAAUGCCUUAAAAUGCUGAGAUCUCUUCUAAAUAUCUUAGUUCUUCCUGAUUUUAGUGAUGAAUAUUCAAUCAAAAACUUUUGUCUCAGAAGAUCUCGCAUGCUUUUUUGUACUGCUGCGAGUUCUGCUAGAUUGCAUGCAGUAGAACACUGUAGACUAGAAAUGUUAGUUAUCGAUGAAGCUGCUCAACUCAAAGAAUGUGAGUCAAAUAUACCUUUACAACUUCCUGGUAUUCGUCAUGCUGUACUUAUUGGAGACGAGAAACAGUUGCCUGCCCUAGUCAAAAGUGAGAUUUCCGGCAAGGCAGGGUUCGGAAGAAGUUUGUUUGAAAGGCUGGUCCUCCUAGGUCAUGAAAAACACCUUCUCAAUAUUCAGUAUAGAAUGCAUCCAUCCAUUAGCUUGUUUCCAAAUAUGGAAUUCUAUGACAAACAAAUUUUGGAUUCUCCAAGGGUCAAAGAAAGAAGCUAUGGGAAGCAUUUUAUAGGUGGUGAUAUGUUUAAGUUCUACUCUUUCAUAAAUGUUUCUUAUGGACAAGAUGAAUUAGAUGAAGGGAAUAGCCGAAAAAAUAGGGUGGAAGUAGCUGUGGUAUCUGAGAUUGUUUUUGAGCUCUACAAAGAAUCAGUUUCUAGAACACGGACUGUUAGUGUUGGUGUUAUAUCUCCAUAUAAAGCUCAGGUUAUUGCCAUACAAGAUGCUAUUGGAAAAAGGAUUGGUGGUGAUGUUGAUCAUAACUUUUCUGUGAAGGUUUGUACUGUUGAUGGUUUCCAAGGUGGUGAAGAGGAUGUGAUAAUAAUAUCCACUGUAAGAUAUAAUAACAUGGGAUUUGUGGGUUUUAUUUCUAAUCUUCAAAGAACUAAUGUUGCUUUAACAAGAGCAAGGUAUUGUCUUUGGAUAGUAGGUAAUGGGGAAACUUUGAUGAAUAGUGGCUCUAUUUGGGAGAGAAUAGUCCUUGAUGCUAGGUCUCGAGGGUGUUAUCAUAAUGCUGACGAGGAUGAUAGGUUAUCUCAUGCUAUUACAACUUCCAUUAUUGAUAUUGGUCAAGUUGGUGAUCUAUUGCAUUUGAGUUCUCCACUCUUCAGGAAAGCAAGGUGGAAGGUUUGCUUCAAUCAAAGAUUUCUAAUCUCUAUGGCAAGAAUUAAGAGCUCUGAGAUUUGCCAGAAAAUAUGUUCCCUGCUGAGGCAACUUUCAAGUGGUUGGCGUCAGCCUAAACGGGAAAUAAAUCUUGGAGUUGUGGAUGAUAUUUCUUCCCAACUAUUGGAGCUGUACAAGGUCAAUGAGUCACUUUAUCUUGUUUGGACCAUCGAUGUUAUAAAGGACAACUCAAAUUAUGUUCAAAUUUUGAAGAUUUGGGAUGUUUUGCCAUUGUCUGAGGUAACCAAUUUGGCAAGGGAUAUUGACAUUUCAUACAGGAAUUAUUCCGCUGAUAUUCUUAGAUUCUGCAAAACCAGAUGUUAUGAUGGGAAAUUUGACAUUCCAGGGACAUGGCUUGCUAGUUCGAAUCAUCUGACAAAUAAUAAUCUUCCAGAUCCUAUGCAAGUUCUAUGCAACCAAUUUUCUUCACUCGGACUGAGGAACAUAAAUUAGAAUCAACAGUAUAUUACUCUCACCUCACCUUUGUUUUGAAAAAGAAUAUAUAAAAAAAUAAAAAAGAGGUGUGUUUUAAUGCGUAUUUUUUAAGGUGUUUAAACACGGAGGAGGUUAAUGUGGUGCAAGUAAAAUACAAAAGGGGUCAGAGUAAUAUACUCAAUUUCAACCAGUUAGAAGUUAUGGAAAUAUUAGAUUUUGGAAUCCUAUAUCAAAGCUGCUUUGGUUUGGAGAGCAAUAGUGAGUUUUUUGGGAAAGUAUCUGCUUCAACAGCGAGGUCAAUAGCAAUUGUGUAUAUACACAUAUAGAAGAGUAUACUCUGUGCAUACAGUCAUAGGUUAUGUAAAAAAUAAUCCCUCUUUUGGGUUUGCUUUGGCUAUAUUUCUGACAUGAUAGGACGAAGUAUGGUUUGUGACUCAAGACAAGUUAUAUUCUUCUACAGGAAUUUAACUCUUCUGGAGUAAGCUUUCACUUUAGAGAGAAAAGUGAAAAAUCUUAAUAAUCAUCGAUGAAAAAGAUCAACAGUUCAUAUUACUCGAACAUGUCCAACAAGCCAUACAUUUGUCAAAAUCUUGUCUUUUGUCAUUAAUGAUCGAGAUGUUUCACAUUUCCUUUGUGUAGCGAACAAGAGUAAAUUCCUUUCCGAAACAUGAAUAUUUGAGUAGUCUGAUUGUAUGUGUAAAUCAGCCAUUAGAAUGGUGUAAGGGAUGUCCUUUUUGUUAUAUUACACGUUGAAUGUUUCUGA